AUUGAACGCUGGCGGAAUGCUUUACACAUGCAAGUCGAACGGCAGCACGGGGCAACCUGGUGGCGAGUGGCGAACGGGUGAGUAAUACAUCGGAACGUGCCCAGUCGUGGGGGAUAACGUAGCGAAAGUUACGCUAAUACCGCAUACGAUCUAAGGAUGAAAGCGGGGGAUCGCAAGACCUCGCGCGAUUGGAGCGGCCGAUGUCAGAUUAGGUAGUUGGUGGGGUAAAGGCCCACCAAGCCGACGAUCUGUAGCUGGUCUGGGAGGACGACCAGCCACACUGGGACUGAGACACGGCCCAGACUCCUACGGGAGGCAGCAGUGGGAAAUUUUGGACAAUGGGCGCAAGCCUGAUCCAGCCAUUCCGCGUGCAGGAUGAAGGCCUUCGGGUUGUAAACUGCUUUUGUACGGAGCGAAAAGGCUCUCUCUAAUACAGGGGGCCCAUGACGGUACCGUAAGAAUAAGCACCGGCUAACUACGUGCCAGCAGCCGCCGUAA
rnacentral:rRNA from 1 species